rnacentral:rRNA from 1 species
UACGGAGGGGGCAAGCGUUGUUCGGAAUUACUGGGCGUAAAGGGCGCGCAGGCGGCUGCUCAAGUCAGGCGUGAAAGGCCUGGGCUCAAGCCGGGAAUUGCGCUUGAGACUGGGCUGGCUUGAGUGCGGGAGAGGAUGGUGGAAUUCCCAGUGUAGAGGUGAAAUUCGUAGAUAUUGGGAAGAACACCGGUGGCGAAGGCGGCCAUCUGGACCGCAACUGACGCUGAGGCGCGAAGGCUAGGGGAGCAAACGGG